AGAGCUCAAGAAGUGUCAAACAGCACUUGGGAGAGGAAGAAGAUAAGGAAAGUGAAGAGCAACCGUUUUCCAGCAUGCACUCCUCGCUCCAGCAACCAGACACUCCCUUAGCCUGGCGGAUAGGGAUGGUGCAGCAGCCUGGACACACAUGGCAGACAGCCACCUGGCCCACACAGGAGCUGAAAUCAGGUGGCAGCUGCUUGCUCUGCAGAGGUGGCUCAGGCAGCACACCUCCAUGCAGUUAUGGAAGGCACCUCUCUCUGCACCAGGCUUGGUCCAGUCCAGGGAAUGGUUGUGGCCUUGCCAAGAAGAAGGGAUUUGAGACCCAGCAAGUCUGUCACCUGCUGAGUAGGUCUGCAGCUUCCCAAGUGGGGAACUUGGGAUCUCCAUGGGAUCUGCCUCUGCCUGAUGCCAGCACUACUCAUCUAGGAUACGAAACAACCUGGGCUGGACCCAGAGACACACUGCAGAAAGCAAAGGGACAAGAUGGGAGCCUGAAGAAAUAUGCAACUCCCUAAGGCCAUUUUUCUCUAGUUACUCUCAUCCCUGGCUGGAGGAAGGCGCGCUCUGAGUGGCAUAGUAAUAUUUACACCUUGUACCAGGGCUAGCAGGAGUAGGACUGGGUGCAGGGCCAGGGGCCAAACCAGUGUCCUGCAGGAAUGCUGAGAUAGCAUAGGUUCAAGAAGGGCUGAGGACACUGCAAGCAGUUCCUGAGUGUGAGUAAAGAGAACCCUGUAAGGUAACGCAGCCAUGCUCCCCUGGAAAACCAUUAUUGCGUGGAAGGGGGCAAUGGGACUGGGCUGCAGCUGGCCUGAUGCCCUUUAAAAUUAAGCUUUAAUUAAGAAACAGCAGGAAGAGGCUAAAAAAAGCCCCACAAAACAUGCAAGUGUGCACCCCCAAAGAUGUGAUCUGUUCCCCUAAAUGCAGGAGGAGGAUACCUCGUGAGACGAGUGCUAGGCAACUGUCCACACCUUGCUCUGCAACGUGGAAAUGCAGCAGCUCUCUGUAUGUGCCUCCCUCUCCUGUUAGCAGGAGCAAGUCACCUCCCUUCAGGGCAGGGACAGGCUUGGGACUGGCACUUUUGGAAGCAGCCCAGCUUGGGCUGAAGGCUUGGCCAGGCUUGUAAGGAAGGUGGGGGAAGGUAAAUCAGACACCCACCUUAGGGACAGAAAUGUCCUCACACUAAACCCCCCUCCCUUGGGACCCCAACAGAGCAGUCCUGCACUGGCAUGAGUUUGACAGGUCUUCCUUACACCCAGCACUUCCACGGUCGCUGGCCCCAUCAGGCAGCAGGGAAGGGUUAAGAGCUGCAGCCUGGAGGGACUUUGCACCCAAAUUUGGGGUUUUGCAAGAAGUUGUCACAAAAGGCUGAGCGGAGACAGAAAUAUUUCCAUGAUGUAUCCCAUUCGUUUGUAAUUCCAAAUGAAACGGUUUCCUUUUAAACAAACAAACUGUUCCCUGCAGCACUAGCAGUCGGACACACACCACAGAGCUAGGCCGGUGCUGGUGAGCAGUGUG
rnacentral:lncRNA from 1 species